GCCAAACACGCAGCUGGCAAAUGUCCUAGAAAUAGCCAAACGGCUGAGUUUACAGGCAGCAAAAGGAGCAAGAGAGGAGAGGGUGUGUGAGAGACACCAGGAGGCUCUGAAACUGUUCUGUGAAGAGGAUCAAACCCCCAUCUGUGUGGUGUGUGACAGAUCUCGGGCUCACAGUGCUCACACGGUGGUUCCCAUAGAGGAGGCUGCCCAGGAGUACAAGGAAAAAAUCCAGGCCCAUUUGAAGAUUCUGAGGGAAGAGAGAGAAAAGCUGCUGGGAUUGAAAGUGACUGGAGAGGGGGAAAGCCAGGAGUAUCUGAAACAAACACAAACCGAGAGGCAGAAGAUUGUGUCUGAAUUUCAGCAACUGCGGCAGUUCCUGGAGGAACAUGAGCGACUCCUGCUGGCCCAGCUGGAAAAGCUGGACGAAGAGAUUGAGAGGAUACAAAAAUGAAAAAUUUCAAAUAAAACUCUACCAAAGGA